CGAAUUCGCCCUUCCUACGGGAGGCAGCAGUGGGGAAUAUUGCGCAAUGGGCGGAAGCCUGACGCAGCGACGCCGCGUGAGGGAUGACGGCCUUCGGGUUGUAAACCUCUUUCGACCUUGACGAAGCCUUUCGGGGUGACGGUAGGGGUAGAAGAAGCACCGGCCAACUACGUGCCAACAGCCGCGGUAAUACGUAGGGUGCGAGCGUUGUCCGGAAUUAUUGGGCGUAAAGAGCUCGUAGGCGGUCUGUCGCGUCGGUCGUGAAAACUUGGGGCUUAACCCUGAGCUUGCGGUCGAUACGGGCAUGACUGGAGUUCGGCAGGGGAGACUGGAAUUCCUGGUGUAGCGGUGAAAUGCGCAGAUAUCAGGAGGAACACCGGUGGCGAAGGCGGGUCUCUGGGCCGAUACUGACGCUGAGGAGCGAAAGCGUGGGGAGCGAACAGGAUUAGAUACCCUGGUAGUCCACGCCGUAAACGGUGGGCGCUAGGUGUGGGGGCCAUUCCACGGUCUCUGUGCCGCAGCUAACGCAUUAAGCGCCCCGCCUGGGGAGUACGGCCGCAAGGCUAAAACUCAAAGGAAUUGACGG
rnacentral:rRNA from 1 species